AUUUAUAUAUGACAACUUGACUUGAAAGUGCUUGAAAGUUGAUAGUGGAAUUAUUGAUGGAAGAUUUGAAAAUUAGAUGGUAAAUAGAUAUCAUAUUAAAUAAUGAAGUCACGUUGCAUUUAUAUUGGCUGAUAACCUUGAUUUGAUAAAAAUUAGGCACCAUUCGGCUGAGAAAAUUUAGACAGUAUAGUAUAUAUCAGCGAAGCAUAAAACGACUUAAAUUUUUUGGUUUAACUGAUCAAGAUAUUUUAACGGAAGACAAACAAGUAUGGAAGGAAAAGAAAUAGAGUAACGAUGGCACAGCAUGCCGUGAGGAACAGCGUGGUAAGAGACAUCAGGUUGGAUGCUGC